UGUUUUGUUAGCAAUCAACAGUUAAUUGUUAUUAUUUCAAAGUUGUUACAAAAAAUUUUACAUUCUCUGAUUAAAAAAGUGUAACUUGAAUCAUUUUUGAAGGAUUUUGCUGAGAGAUUCGAAAGAAAAUGGAUCAAUCUGAUUAAAUGCAGAAUGAUUAAGUCUACGUUCUAUAUAUUUUCAUCAUUUUGGUCAAUUUUACGUUUACAUCUUUUGGAUUCAUCUGUAUUUAUGGCUGAAUUGAUUGAUUAAAAGUGACAAGUAGAGUGACAUUUUUCUCAAAGUCAAUGUAGAUGUACUCUUCAUGGCAAACUGUCAAUAUUACGAGCCAAGAUCAAUCUUUGCAAUGCUAUAAGUUUAAUCUUGUUUUAUGGUUAACAAUGAACUGUAGAUGAUUUUUUUGGACUACCUUUUCAAUUGCUCAAGAUGUUACAGAAGCCAACAAACAGCCAACCUUGCACAAUAAACUAGCGGAUUCAGUUAACUCUUCAAAGGUGUUAGUCAGACCUACUCAAGUUGAGAUCUUUGUUGGUCCAUUGGCGGGUAAAAAAAUGCACUGUCGAUCCUGGGACAACUAAUGAUGGUGAUGAUAAUGAUGAUGAAUAUACAAAAGAUGAUAAUACUUGUGUUGCUGCUUUGAAUCAGAGUAGAGUGCAGUUACCGCCAAAUGAUUGUUUCUUAUGCUUCAAUGACCAAGGGUGAAAUGAAAAAGGAAAGGAAAGGCAUAAGAAGAAAGACAAUAAAUACUUUCUCUACAACACAUGUUGAUGUAACAAAAGUCAAGCUAACUCUUCAUCCAAGUCUGGAAAUUUGAAUGGACCAUGAAAAAGGACAGCAAUUGAAUAAACUGACUCAAAUGGACUUACAGAUGAUAAAGUGAUAUCUUGCUCGUAUUGCACUGAUUCUGGAAUCGUAUUGAUGAAUGUAUUUCUGGUUUAAAUUGAUGUUAAGCUUCAAGAACCAGUUGAAUCAGGUCUUAUCGUUAUUCCUCUCCAUGCUCUUUCAACAUUCUUGCCCUUCUCUUACAAUUAUCAUCAUCAUCAAAGCAUCAUCAUCCCCCCAUCAUCAUGAUCAUUUGAUUUCUCCUCUUUUCUCAAUGUAAACCAGUAGCCCGGGUUAUAACCAGUCAACUCUUGUUAAUGGUAAUUGCAAUUGAUACUGAUUUGCCUUAAGAAUUUUAUUCUUUCUUGUUUUUAAUUUUGUCGUUUUGACGAUUUACUGGUUAACUGGUGGGGAGAAGGUCAAAAUUUAGGUCAUGAUCAGGUCAGAUUCGUGUUAUCUCAUAUCUUUAAGAAGGCGAAGUAGAGAGUGAUAGAUUGAACAAUCUUGAUUAAUCUAUUUAUUGUCGUUCAAUUGCCAUUUUCCCUAGCCAUAUUCAAGUUAUUCAAAUGAAGCAACAGAUUUAUUCACUGGUUAUAAUGAUAGUUUUAUAAUGAAAUUAAUCUUUAAAGUUAAUUAUUGGUUUUACAUUUCAUGCAGAUUAUCUAGAUUGAGCUCCACUCUAAUCAAAAUCACAUUGAAUCAAUGAUAAUGCCUAUCCAAUACAUUUGGCGUUGAUGAUAAUAAUGAAGUGAAAACCCAAAUCAGCUAUUGACUCUUUUCAACAAUCUAACCCUUGAACAAAAUGUUGACAAUUAAGUAGGGAGGUUUAGUGAUGCUGAAGAAAGAUUUAAUAUUAGUUUUUCAUUUUGAAAAUUGAUUGAAGAGGUUCAACUAUAUUCUGAGCUAAAUUCAUUUAUUUAGGACAUUGAAGGGAAAAGGUUUAACCAGAUUAAGAUUGCUGUUGAAGGCCAAGUUUUGAUUAACUCUUACAAAAAGUGCAUUCACAUAAAUCGAUUUAGAUUAACGUUUCUGCUCAACUUUUACACAAUUUAAUGUAAAUCAAUCCCAAUCAAUAGCAAUUCACAAUCAGAGUUGAUCACAAUUUCAACUUGCGCAAAGCCUUAGCAAGUUUGAAAUCGUAGCAUCAAAGAGACUCUUCAAACCAGGUUUCAAAAGCCAAGAGUUACAAAAAAAACAUAGCAAAAUGAGCAAAAAGUGAAUGAAUAGAAACGACGAUAAUGAUGAUAAUGGUAAUGACAAUGAUGAUGAGAUGUGAUGAUUGCAUUUCUGUGUCGCAUUAUUAUGCAUGUACAGAUUACCUGUUUUUUACCUCAAUGAUUAUUUCUUGAAAAUGGUUCUUCCUGUAAUUAUGACUACCCUUACAAGUAAAUUUGCUGCCUAUCAUUUUUAUUAUUAGUUUCCUUCCCCACUUCCAUUUCUACCUUUCCAUUCAACUUCGUCUCUCACUUUUCCUCUGGAUUAUUAACUGACUUUACUUGUUAAAACAGGAGCUCAUAAUUACAGGGUCCAACCAUAUUACCUAAUUUUGUGACAAUCAGCAUGAAACAGUCUUUUAAAAUCUCAACCUUUUCUAGUAUUGUAGAGCCUUCUUUUUGUGGACAAUUUUCCAUUCAUCUUUACCAUCUUUCUUGUUGUCAGUCUUUUAAUUUGCUUUUUUUUCUUCUUCUUCUUCCAGCCUCCUUCAAUUAAGCCUCGGAUCUUAACCAUGUUUGGGUCAACGGUUUACGAGUUUUGGUCUGAAACCAUUUUGACAACUUUGACUUUACCAUUAGAGUUGUGCUGUUUACUUUGCUUCUCUGUCUUCCCUCACCAUUACACUGCUUUAUGUACUAGGUUUAGUUGACUUUCAACUUGUAUGGAUGGACGGUAAAAAAGCAGCCUUGCCUUAGGCUAACUUGAACGCUUGAGAAACUAAUUUCAAGACCUGGAUCAACACAAAAAAAUAGGAAAAACAAAUUUCAUUUGGUCAUUAAAUUUUACAAGUGAAUGGCGUUUGAUGAGGAUUGUUACCAGAAGAGCGGAAAAACAAAUUGCCAAAACCAGUGGCAGUCAAGAUUCAAGGCAAAGAAGAUGACUUUAAACCUGAUGGGAUACCAGUAGAGAUGAACCUGUCAAAUAAUCACGUAUACAAUUCGCAAAACGUUUAUCGCCAAUUGAUCAUCACUUUCAACAUUUCAUUGAUUACUCUUUGCCAAAUGCAUAAUUAACCUUUUCGAGCUGAAAAAAAUCACAGUUACCAACACACAAUUUAUGUAUAUAUUUAUGGCUAAUUUAUAAAUAUAUAUGUAAUACGUGUGUAAAUUCAUUAGUCCUUGUUUCUGUUUUCACUGACCCAAGCAGAGAAGAGUCAGAAGGAGGAAAAAAACGAAACAGUGUGAGAAAAUAUAUGUUAAAAUGUUACAAAUGAUGAUCAAUGAAAUUAAUUAAUCUACGUUUUUAUAAUGAUUGGAGCUUUUGAAAGUCUCUCAUUCUCCCUAGUCAGUCAAUAAUCAUUAUCCAUCCCCAUGAAACAUCAUUAUCAACACCAUCAACAAAAGCAACUGUGCAAGGUCGAUUAUUAUGGACAAUCGUUUUCAUGAUCCUUGAACUGUAAAAAUGUUGCCUUUUUUGCUGAUAAUACUUAGCAAUUGGAUCAAAACAAAGAGAGAAAGAUAUAAAUUUCAAGAAAUGGACUCAACCCGUUUCCAGGAGAGAAGGGCAAAAAAGCCAUGAUGAUGAUAAUCAUGAAUAGUGACGGUCGUUCAUUCAACUAAUCCUUCUUUAUUAUUUGAAGAAUGGUGGAAACAAGAAAUAUCCGCCCAGAAUUUUCUUCUAAAGAAAUUAAUUCAUGGUAUUCAUCCUGCUUCAAGGAAAUUGAAAUUGACUCGAGGAUAAUUCAACACUACUGGCUAUACCCAAUUGUGGGUUGAAAUUGAUUUACCAAGGAUUCUUGGGAUUAAAACAAGCCAAUAGAUUCGGUAUAUUCCUGUUUCCAAUAGAUUCUGGUUUUACAAUUUCUGGUCUUCCAUUUACACAA